rnacentral:rRNA from 1 species
UACGAGGGGGGCAAGCGUUGUUCGGAAUUAUUGGGCGUAAAGGGCGCGUAGGCGGUGCGGUAAGUCACCUGUGAAACCUCUGGGCUUAACUCAGAGCCUGCAGGCGAAACUGCCGUGCUGGAGUAUGGGAGAGGUGCGUGGAAUUCCCGGUGUAGCGGUGAAAUGCGUAGAGAUGUGGAGGAACACCAGUGGCGAAGGCGGCUUUUUGGUCUGUAACUGACGCUGAGGCGCGAAAGCGUGGGGAGCAAACAGG